GCGAUAGCCCCAGUAACGGCGAGUGAAGCGGCUACAGCUCAAAUUUGAAAUCUGGCCCUCUUUGGGGGUCCGAGUUGUAAUUUGCAGAGGAUGCUUUGGCGUUGGCGGCGUUCUAAGUUCCCUGGAACAGGACAUCGCAGAGGGUGAGAAUCCCGUAUGUGGGCGCCUGCCUUCGCCGUGUAAAGCUCCUUCGACGAGUCGAGUUGUUUGGGAAUGCAGCUCUAAAUGGGAGGUAAAUUUCUCCUAAAGCUAAAUACCGGCCAGAGACCGAUAGCGCACAAGUAGAGUGAUCGAAAGAUGAAAAGUACUUUGGAAAGAGAGUCAAACAGCACGUGAAAUUGUUGAAAGGGAAGCGCUUGCAGCCAGACUUGCCCGCAGUUGCUCACCCAGGCUCUUGCCUGGGGCACUCUUCUGCGGGCAGGCCAGCAUCAGUUUGGGCGGUCGGAGAAAGGCCUCUGUCAUGUACCACCCCUCGGGGUGGCCUUAUAGGGGAGGCGUAAUGCGACCAGCCCGGACUGAGGUCCGCGCAUCUGCUAGGAUGCUGGCGUAAUGGCUGUAAGCG
rnacentral:rRNA from 1 species